GAAAUGCGAUAAGUAAUGUGAAUUGCAGAAUUCAGUGAAUCAUCGAAUCUUUGAACACACAUUGCGCCCGCCAGUAUUCUGGCGGGCAUGCCUGUUCGAGCGUCAUUUCAACCAUCAAGCCCCCGGCUGGUGUUGGGGACCUGCGGCUGCCCGCAGGCCCUGAAAAACAGUGGCGGGCUCGCUGUCACACCGAGCGUAGUAGCAUACAUUCUCGCUCAGGGCGUGCUGCGGGUUCCGGCCGUUAAACGACCUUCAUAACCCAAGGUUGACCUCGGAUCAGGUAGGAAGACCCGCUGAACUUAAGC
rnacentral:misc_RNA from 1 species